UACGGAGGGUGCAAACGUUGCUCGGAAUUAUUGGGCGUAAAGCGCACGUAGGCGGACUGUUAAGUCGGAUGUGAAGGCCCUCAGCUUAACUGAGGAAGUGCAUUCGAAACUGGCAGUCUUGAGUAUGGAAGAGGGUCGCGGAAUUCCCGGUGUAGAGGUGAAAUUCGUAGAUAUCGGGAGGAACACCAGUGGCGAAGGCGGCGACCUGGGCCAAUACUGACGCUGAGGUGCGAAAGCUAGGGGAGCGAACAGG
rnacentral:rRNA from 1 species